rnacentral:snoRNA from 14 species
AACUAAAAAAAAUUAUUAAAAUUUAAAUUAGAUUUUACUUAUUGGAAUUUAAUUAAUUUUGGUAAAAAUAUAAUAAACCAUUUCUAGCUAUAUGAUUAUGCAAACCAUAAAGCUGCGAAGGGGUUUAAUUG